AUAUGCAAGGAGCAUGAGGGGUUCAAUUAGAAAUAUCAAAGUUAGGGUUGAAUAUGGAGAGUGAAAGCAAGCAAGUUAAGCAGAAGCUGGGGGUCUUGGAUAUCCUCAAGGAAGCUGUAACAUUCUAUGUCAGCAAUAUCAACUUCAUUAUCUUCACCUUUCUCAAUUCCCUUCCUUUCUUUUUUGUCAUGCUUUACUUUGAAAUUUUGUUCCAGCAAACUAUCGUUGAGACCCCGGAAAUUUUUUCACUUCUACCUUUUAACGAAAGAAAUCAUGCCUAUGAACUUGAUGUAAUUUAUGAUUACGGCACAAACAUUCCUAGUAGAAGUUUUCGUAAGAACUAUUUGCCUGAUAAAAGUUUUAGUAAGGAUUAUUUGCCUGUUUUGAUUCUACUUGGAUUCAUUUACUUGGUGCCUCUUCAUGUUCUAGAGCUCUGCUCGGCAGUUGUAACUAUGGAUUCAGCUUCAAAGCUGUACUCAGAAGAGAAUAACAUGAGUGUCAUGGAUAUGUUUAAAAGAUCCAUUGACAUAUCAAUAAUGAAAGGCACAUUUAUCACUUCUUUGUAUAUGCUCUUUUGGUCAACUUGCCUUUUGAUUGCAUUCCCAUGGAUGGCAGGUAACUGUUAUGUGCUCUUCAGGGAUUUAGGAUACUACAUAUUUUUUGCAGUAAUUUGUUUUUUAGGUUUUGUAAAGCUGUUGAAGGUGUAUUUGGAAUGGAGUGCUAUUUGGAAUAUGAGUUUUGUGAUAUCAGUUGUGGAUGGUAUAUAUGGUAUUGGGGCUUUGCGAGUUUCGUAUUACCUCAGCAGAGGUAAUCAGAAGAGAGGACUACUUGUGAUGCUUGUUUUCUUUGCUUUGGGACUUUGUUUAAGGUUGUCAUGUGUCUCCCUUGGAUGCUAUAAAGGAGGGUAUGGGAUAUUUGUACAAAUUGGGCUCCUCGCUGUGUUAAAUACCCUGAAAUGGCUGUCGUGCAUGAUUUACUUUUCUGAUUGCAAGGAGAGGAAAAUGCAGAAGAAAGUUGAUGAGGAAUCAGGUAAAGAUCUUGCAAAAUGAUUCAUUGAAGAAUGGAACUUGGAGAUAAUUUGCUGUUAUGUAGUGAUAAAUUUGUUUUUAUGUGGAGUUAGUGAUGAGAAUUUGAAUAAUGUACAAGAUGUGUAGAGUGGGAAAUAUUUAUACUUCCAUUUGCCAAAAGGAAUGUAGGACUUCUGAACUUUUGAUCAGGAAUAAAUUGUGAACAAAUGAUUUACGUCAAAUGGCAAGCUUACAAUAAAUCUAUUUUUUUUUCCUGUCUACACUCUAGCAUGAAAAUUCUUUUUUCUAUUUUUGAGUAGGGAUGAAGGAACUGGUGGCCUAGUACUCAAUCAAUAAAAACAGAAUGGGCUAGGAAUGUUUGGCUAGAAAAUUUGGAGACCGGUAAAGAAUGGGGCACUUUGUUUUAAAAACAGUAAAAUAUAUUUUCAAAGUUUUUUUUAUGAUUUUAAUUAUAAAUUUAACAAAUACUACAUUGUAAUUUUGUUUUCAAAUAUACAUAAUUUCAGGUCAUGUUUAAUUUAACUCAAAUUAAUUUCAAAGCAUUAAUACACCCUUUGCACUAUUUUCUUUUUCGAAGAAAAAAAAUAAAACUAGCUGUACGAAAGAGUGAUUAGUGACAGAGACAUGGUAAGAGAAAACAGGAAUAGAGAUUAGAAGGUGUGAAGAAAGAGUGAGAGUGAGACAUGAUAAUGCACAGCCACACAAAAUAGAAUAGAAAGAGCGAUGGAUGUGGCGAAGAACGGUUAGCGGUGUGGGACUUGUUGACAUGGCUUCUUCUACACUCGCUCUGACUCUCAGCCUCUCCACCACCACCACCACCUCCACCACCUCCUACUCCUAUCAACACCGGUUUCCAUGUCCUAGAAUAAAGUUAUUCUCUUCCAAGCACCGCUCCUUCUCCGUCUCAGCUUCUGCUUCCACCUCAAAUUCGCUUCAGGCUCUCAUAUUCGACUGCGAUGGCGUGAUCCUCGAGUCUGAGCACCUGCAUCGCCAGGCCUACAACGAUGCCUUUGUUCACUUCAACGUUCGCUGCCCUUCUUCUUCUUCUCCGGGCCCACUCAAUUGGGACGUUCAAUUCUACGACGAACUCCAGAACCUCAUUGGUGGAGGCAAACCCAAAAUGCGAUGGUACUUUAAGGAACAUGGGUGGCCUACGUCCACGUUGUUCCAGACGCCUCCGACUAAUGAUGAGGAUCGGGCCAAGUUGAUUGACACUCUUCAGGAUUGGAAGACUGAGAGAUACAAAGAAAUAAUCAAGUCAGGAACUGUAAAACCCAGACCUGGAGUUCUGAGAUUGAUGGAUGAGGCUAGAGAUGCAGGGAAAAAGCUAGCUGUUUGCUCAGCAGCAACUAAAAGUUCAGUUAUUCUCUGUCUUGAAAACCUUAUAGGAAUUGAGCGCUUUCAAGGCCUUGAUUGCUUCCUUGCUGGUGAUGAUGUGAAGGAAAAGAAGCCUGACCCAUCAAUAUACGUGACAGCUUCCAAGAAGCUAGGUAUAUCAGAGAAAGACUGCUUGGUUGUAGAGGAUAGUGUUAUUGGAUUGCAGGCAGCAACACAAGCAGGGAUGUCAUGCGUGGUUACCUACACACCUUCCACAGCAGAACAGGAUUUCAAAGAAGCCAUAGCAAUCUACCCUGACUUGAGUAACGUAAGAUUGAAAGAUUUGGAAUUACUACUUCAAGAUGUUGUAGCUGCUAAAUAGAAGAUUUGCUUGUGCCUUGGAAAUGUUGCUAUUUUAGCUGCCCUGCAGUGGUUUCUAUCGGGAAAAUGGAUUGACAUAUUUGAUGUUUAAGAUCUCUCUCUAAAAUAACUUUUUUUUUCAUAUAUUAAUUGACUGCCGAUGAUGUAUACGUGCAAGUUAAAAUGUAACAACAAUUCUUUGCAAGAUGUAGUAAAGAUCAUAAUCUACUGUUAGUGUUUUUCUCAUUAAA